GAGAGAGACAUGCGCGCAUAUCAAUAAGCGGAGGAAAAGAAACUAACAAGGAUUCCCUUAGUAACGGCGAGUGAAGCGGGAAGAGCUCAAAUUUGAAAUCUUCAAGGUUCUACCUUGACGAAUUGUAGUUUAAAGAAGUGUUUUCUGCUGAAGUUUUGGUAAAAGUUCUUUGAAUAGGACAUCAUAGAGGGUGAGAAUCCCGUAUUUGACCAUUAUUUUCAGCUUUGUGAUACACUUUCAAAGAGUCGGAUUGUUUGGGAAUGCAGUCCAAAAUGGGUGGUAAAUUUCAUCUAAAGCUAAAUAUUGGCGAGAGACCGAUAGCGAACAAGUACCGUGAGGGAAAGAUGAAAAGAACUUUGAAAAGAGAGUUAAACAGUACGUGAAAUUGUCAAAAGGGAAGCGUUUGACACCAGUGUUGUUUUCUCGAAAAUCAAUUAAAAAUGGCUAGAUUUUGUAUUGUAUUGACCUUUAUCAAGCUUCACUGCUACAUCUUUUCGUGUCUUUUUUAAUGCACUUUUCGUUUAACAAGUCAACAUCAGUUUCUUUUGUUGUAAAAGGGUCAUUGGAAGGUGGCUUUCUUUUCGGAGAAAGUGUUUAUAGCCUUUGGCCUCUGCAAUCGGAGAGACUGAGGUCUGCAGCGUAGACUCUUCGGGGUUAGAUACAUUUGUGCUAAGUUAUAGCUUUUUAUAGACAACUUGUUGACUAUAAUUAGUCUUGUAGCUUACUCGCUUAUGCUAUUUUACCUACGCUUAGGAUGUUGAGUCGUAGAGCACGCAG
rnacentral:rRNA from 1 species